GUAGGUGGCAAGCGUUGUCCGGAAUUAUUGGGCGUAAAGCGCGCGCAGGCGGUCCUUUAAGUCUGAUGUGAAAGCCCACGGCUCAACCGUGGAGGGUCAUUGGAAACUGGGGGACUUGAGUACAGAAGAGGAAAGCGGAAUCCCAAGUGUAGCGGUGAAAUGCGUAGAGAUUUGGAGGAACACCAGUGGCGAAGGCGGCUUUCUGGUCUGUAACUGACGCUGAGGCGCGAAAGCGUGGGGAGCAAACAGGAUUAGAUACCCUGGUAGUCCACGCCGUAAACGAUGAGUGCUAAGUGUUAGGGGGUUUCCCGCCCCCUUAGUGCUGCAGCUAACGCAUUAAGCACUCCGCCUGGGGAGUACGGCCGCAAGGCUG
rnacentral:rRNA from 1 species